rnacentral:rRNA from 1 species
AUUGAACGCUGGCGGCAGGCUUAACACAUGCAAGUCGAGCGGGGUGAUGGUGCUUGCACUAUCACUUAGCGGCGGACGGGUGAGUAAUGCUUAGGAAUCUGCCUAUUAGUGGGGGACAACAUCUCGAAAGGGAUGCUAAUACCGCAUACGUCCUACGGGGGAAAGCAGGGGAUCACUUGUGACCUUGCGCUAAUAGAUGAGCCUAAGUCGGAUUAGCUAGUUGGUGGGGUAAAGGCCUACCAAGGCGACGAUCUGUAGCGGGUCUGAGAGGAUGAUCCGCCACACUGGGACUGAGACACGGCCCAGACUCCUACGGGCGGCAGCAGUGGGGAAUAUUGGACAAUGGGGGGAACCCUGAUCCAGCCAUGCCGCGUGUGUGAAGAAGGCCUUAUGGUUGUAAAGCACUUUAAGCGAGGAGGAGGCUCUUUUGGUUAAUACCCAGAAUGAGUGGGCGUUACUCGCAGAAUAAGCACCGGCUAACUCUGUGCCAGCAGCCGCAGUAA